AGAGUUUGAUCCUGGCUCAGAUUGAACGCUGGCGGCAUGCCUUACACAUGCAAGUCGAACGGCAGCGGGGACUUCGGUCCGCCGGCGAGUGGCGAACGGGUGAGUAAUAUAUCGGAACGUACCUUUCAGUGGGGGAUAACGUAGCGAAAGUUACGCUAAUACCGCAUAUUCUGUGAGCAGGAAAGCAGGGGAUCGCAAGACCUUGCGCUGAUUGAGCGGCCGAUAUCAGAUUAGCUAGUUGGUGAGGUAAAGGCUCACCAAGGCGACGAUCUGUAGCGGGUCUGAGAGGAUGAUCCGCCACACUGGAACUGAGACACGGUCCAGACUCCUACGGGAGGCAGCAGUGGGGAAUUUUGGACAAUGGGGGCAACCCUGAUCCAGCCAUGCCGCGUGAGUGAAGAAGGCCUUCGGGUUGUAAAGCUCUUUCGGCCGGGAAGAAAUCGCACGGGCUAAUACCCUGUGUGGAUGACGGUACCGGAAUAAGAAGCACCGGCUAACUACGUGCCAGCAGCCGCGGUAAUACGUAGGGUGCGAGCGUUAAUCGGAAUUACUGGGCGUAAAGCGUGCGCAGGCGGUUUAGUAAGACAGGCGUGAAAUCCCCGGGCUCAACCUGGGAACUGCGCUUGUGACUGCUAAGCUAGAGUACGGCAGAGGGGGGUGGAAUUCCACGUGUAGCGGUGAAAUGCGUAGA
rnacentral:rRNA from 1 species